AGCUGAAAUCAGUCGAAGAUACCAGCUGGCUGCAACUGUUUAUUAAAAACACAGCACUGUGCAAACACGAAAGUGGACGUAUACGGUGUGACGCCUGCCCGGUGCCGGAAGGUUAAUUGAUGGGGUUAUCCUCGCGGAGAAGCUCUUGAUCGAAGCCCCGGUAAACGGCGGCCGUAACUAUAACGGUCCUAAGGUAGCGAAAUUCCUUGUCGGGUAAGUUCCGACCUGCACGAAUGGCGUAAUGAUGGCCAGGCUGUCUCCACCCGAGACUCAGUGAAAUUGAACUCGCUGUGAAGAUGCAGUGUACCCGCGGCAAGACGGAAAGACCCCGUGAACCUUUACUAUAGCUUGACACUGAACACUGGUCCUUGAUGUGUAGGAUAGGUGGGAGGCUUUGAAGUGUGGACGCCAGUCUGCAUGGAGCCAUCCUUGAAAUACCACCCUUUAAUGGCUGGUGUUCUAACGUGGGCCCCUAAUCGGGGUUGCGGACAGUGUCUGGUGGGUAGUUUGACUGGGGCGGUCUCCUCCUAAAGAGUAACGGAGGAGCACGAAGGUCAGCUAAUCCUGGUCGGACAUCAGGAGGUUAGUGCAAUGGCAUAAGCUGGCUUGACUGCGAGCGUGACGGCGCGAGCAGGUGCGAAAGCAGGUCAUAGUGAUCCGGUGGUUCUGAAUGGAAGGGCCAUCGCUCAACGGAUAAAAGGUACUCCGGGGAUAACAGGCUGAUACCGCCCAAGAGUUCAUAUCGACGGCGGUGUUUGGCACCUCGAUGUCGGCUCAUCACAUCCUGGGGCUGAAGUAGGUCCCAAGGGUAUGGCUGUUCGCCAUUUAAAGUGGUACGCGAGCUGGGUUUAGAACGUCGUGAGACAGUUCGGUCCCUAUCUGCCGUGGGCGCUGGAGAAUUGAGGGGGGCUGCUCCUAGUACGAGAGGACCGGAGUGGACGCAUCACUGGUGUUCGGGUUGUCAUGCCAAUGGCAUUGCCCGGUAGCUAAAUGCGGAAGAGAUAAGUGCUGAAAGCAUCUAAGCACGAAACUUGCCCCGAGAUGAGUUCUCCCUGACCCUUUAAGGGUCCUGAAGGAACGUUGAAGACGACGACGUUGAUAGGCCGGGUGUGUAAGCGCAGCGAUGCGUUGAGCUAACCGGUACUAAUGAACCGUGAGGCUUAACCUU
rnacentral:rRNA from 1 species